UACGGAGGGUGCAAGCGUUAUCCGGAUUCACUGGGUUUAAAGGGUGCGUAGGUGGGCAAGUAAGUCAGUGGUGAAAUCUCCGGGCUUAACCCGGAAACUGCCAUUGAUACUAUUUGUCUUGAAUACUGUGGAGGUCAGCGGAAUAUGUCAUGUAGCGGUGAAAUGCUUAGAUAUGACAUAGAACACCAAUUGCGAAGGCAGCUGGCUACACAAAUAUUGACACUGAUGUGCGAAAGCCAGGGGAGCGAACGGG
rnacentral:rRNA from 1 species